rnacentral:rRNA from 1 species
UCUCCGUUGGUGAACCAGCGGAGGGAUCAUUAUAGAGUUCUAAAAAACUCCCAAACCCAUGUGGAACAUACCUCUCGUUGCCUCGGCAGGUCGCUCCUACCCGGUAAACCCUACCCUGUAGGGCCUACCCUGUGGUCGCGGACAAGCCUGCCGGCGGACCAACAAACUCUGUUUACUAUUGAACUUCUGAUUUUAUAAACUCAAUGAGUUAAAACUUUCAACAACGGAUCUCUUGGUUCUGGCAUCGAUGAAGAACGCAGCGAAAUGCGAUAAGUAAUGUGAAUUGCAGAAUUCAGUGAAUCAUCGAAUCUUUGAACGCACAUUGCGCCCGCCAGCAUUCUGGCGGGCAUGCCUGUUCGAGCGUCAUUUCAACCCUUAAGCCCCUGUUGCUUAGCGUUGGGAGCCUACGGCCACGCGCCGUAGCCCCCUAAAGUUAGUGGGCGGAGUCGGUCUCACCCUCCGGACGUAGUAAUAUCUCUCUCGUCUGUAGGUAGGCCGGUCUCCCGCCGUAAAACCCCUAUAAUCUCAAGGUUGACCUCGAAUCAGGUAGGAAUACCCGCUGAACUUAA